UGAGGAAUAUUGGACAAUGGGCGCAAGCCUGAUCCAGCCAUGCCGCGUGCAGGAAGAAGCAUCUAUGGUGUGUAAACUGCUUUUGUACGGGAAGAAACACUCCUACGUGUAGGAGCUUGACGGUACCGUAAGAAUAAGGAUCGGCUAACUCCGUGCCAGCAGCCGCGGUAAUACGGAGGAUCCAAGCGUUAUCCGGAAUCAUUGGGUUCAAAGGGUCCGUAGGCGGUUUAAUAAGUCAGUGGUGAAAGCCCAUCGCUCAACGAUGGAACGGCCAUUGAUACUGCUAGACUUGAAUUACAAGGAAGUAACUAGAAUAUGUAGUGUAGCGGUGAAAUGCUUAGAUAUUACAUGGAAUACCAAUUGCGAAGGCAGGUUACUACUUGUGGAUUGACGCUGAUGGACGAAAGCGUGGGGAGCGAACA
rnacentral:rRNA from 1 species